rnacentral:rRNA from 1 species
UACGAAGGGGGCUAGCGUUGCUCGGAAUCACUGGGCGUAAAGGGUGCGUAGGCGGGUCUUAAGUCGGGGGUGAAAUCCUGGAGCUCAACUCCAGAACUGCCUUCGAUACUGGAGAGCUCGAGUCCGGGAGAGGUGAGUGGAACUGCGAGUGUAGAGGUGAAAUUCGUAGAUAUUCGCAAGAACACCAGUGGCGAAGGCGGCUCACUGGCCCGGUACUGACGCUGAGGUGCGAAAGCGUGGGGAGCAAACAGG